rnacentral:tRNA from 1 species
AUUUGGGUAGCUUAAGUUAAAGCUAAACAUUGAAAAUGUUUCGAUACACUGUAUGUCUUAAAUG